ACGUUUUGGAGAAGUGCAGCCUUAUUUUGCAUGUUCCGUACUAGGUUCCGUAGCAACGCGUAGCAGGCAUCCCAAGUGGGCAACAGAGAAUUGCAUUAUUUUCGCCGCUCAUCCCAUCAGGAAAAGUGCCAGGAGAUGCGAUUCUGUAUGGGAAGCAAUUUUCUAGUUCCACGUCAGAAUACACGAGGAAAAGGAUGAUCGGCAGCGCUAUAAAUGAAGUCGGCAACAUCAUGGUCGUUUUAUGGGCUCCGCAUCUUCCGCCGGGGUGCACUCCGAGUGUGCUAGCGAAACAUCAACAUGGGAUCACAGCCAAGGUCACAGCUAAGCAGUUUUUUGGUAAUUGAACAUGUUAUUGUGAACGUGUUGUGUAUUAUGUAGGGCAUGGAGUAUUAAUAAAAAUUA